GUUUGCUUACUGGACCAGCGAGGCAUCCAGUCUGUUGAGGGGGGAACCCUGUCUUCAGGGUUCCAAAAUCCUCUGGCCAACCACAGCCCGUUUCAUCAACACUGUCAAAACUACCACCGACCUUUCCUGAGGUGCACAAGCGACAACUGGAUGACACAAUAUCUGCCGCAACCUGGCUAAAAAUCAAUGCAAGGUUGCUCAGGGGGAAGGUGGCUGAGCCAAGUAUCCUAAAGGGGCAUACCAUGGACCAGCAGGAGAUUCUGGAAAGGAUUGCACUGACUA